UUGAUUAGCAUACACCUUGAAUAUAUCCUCUACCGUUUUCUACAAAAACCUGAACAUUUAAGCCAUGAUUUUGUUCCAAAAUCAUUAAGAGAAAAAUAUCGUAUCAAAAAAACGUCUCCUGAGACAAAAAUGGAGGCAAAUUACAGAAUAUUACACGACGCAUUAUAUUUUAAAAUGUUUUAAAUACAUCACGGUUACUUAUUAGUUACUCGUGGAAACAAAUUAUUUACCUAAAUAAACAAUUAUUUCAGCAGAUGCCCAGGAUUUAGAUUACAGGGUACACCAAAUUUGGUCAACUUUUAUCAUGGUAACUAAACCUACCAUCGACUUAUCUGGGUUUAAGGAUUACCAAACAAAAAAGGUCGCGACUUGAGUCCGACAAGUCGCGAAUCGGCAAGUCGUCAAAGUGUUCAAAGAGGUAGAGGUCGAGGACGUGGACAGGGAAGAGGUGGGCGUGCACACAGAGGAAGCGAAGUUGACAAUGUAGA